rnacentral:rRNA from 1 species
UCACAGGCCAGACGGCGAUGGGCGUGCAAUCACGCUUAAGAUAUGGUCGAGUGACCCGUCGAGAGGCGGGUGCAACUCAGGAACGUCCGUAGGUGAACCUGCGGAAGGAUCAUU